CGUACUGUGCAAAUGGUUACGUCACUCUCACGUGACGGCCAGCAUGCCCUCCUUCGGGACGGGGUGUGUCAAUUUUGGUUUGAGUUGAGUGUAUUUGAUGCGAGUUAACACAGAUGCCAUGUUGUUAAUUCGGUUUUAGCGUCUUGCAAAUGGUACCAUGAAUUCCUUUAUGUAGAUGCCAUACACUAGGUUUCAUGCGGUCUCUUAAGUAGUUCUCAAAUUGUUAAUGAACUCGUGUGUGUUUAGUAAUCUAGAUGCCAUAGAUUGUUAGCACAUAUGAGCAUACAUAGUAAUCUAAAUGCCAUGGAUACUAUAUGAAUUAGAGGAACUAGACCGUCAAUUUGGAUGAUUACUCAUUAAUAAUUGACUAUAGGAAUUGAGUUGGAUUGGUUAUGGUGAAUCGGAUGCUCUAGUGUCUUUCGCAAUUGAUUUAUAAUUUGAUUUCUUUGUUGUUCUUGUAAACUUUAUGUGGUUAUAUAAUUAAAACACAAACGAAGGAAUUUUAGCUGACCUGAUCAUGAAGCGAUAGCCAUUGGAGAUCAAACGAAGAAGAUGAAGGAUGCGGCAACACCAAAGUCUUCUACAAAGCACCUAGCUGGAUACAACUACUUUAUGGGAAGUGUUUGUUGUGUCUCUAGGGUUUGCAGGGACCUUGGUAUUUAUAUUGGCUAGGGCAUUAAGGUUCCAUCCAUAAAGGAAUCCCAAAUCCCACUUUUUAGCCUAUCAGUUAGGUAUCAUAAUCACAUAAAAUCAAGGACUCCAUUAAUCUUACUUGUAUUACAAGACACCUAAUAUAAGAUUGAUAUCUUUAGGAAAUAAAUCACAAUAUCUACAUUAAUCUCCAAUAUUACAUUCCUAUUAUAUAUUGUAGACCAUUUAAGGUUGAUUUACAUCGGAAUAAAUCCAACAUUCUCCCACUGGUCUACACAUAUAAUAUUUAUGUUUAUACUUGAAAUUGGAGAUUAAUGUCACUUUAAUGGCCAUGUAGUUGUGAUAACAUCAUAUCCUUGAUACAAGUUUCUGUCAAAUAAGUCUUUCAACAUGGAACUAACAAGGUUGUAAGGUUGACACAACCUAAAACCUUCAUAAUCACACAUGCUAAAAUCCUCAUCCACAUGAAACACCGUCAAAUUAUGAUUGCAAAGAUGAACUUUAAUUACCUGAAUGUGUCUCAACUUUUAUCAUCUCAGGUCCUCUUUCAUGCAAACUUUUACUGCAGUUGCAAACAAAAACUUCAUAAAACAUAAUUAAUUCAACACCUACGAGCAAGAUGAAUUAACAUGUUUUUGACACUAGUUCAUAUACCAUAUUAGUUACUUUCGUGAGAGAAUUUUUCAACACUUAUGAGCAAGAUGAAAAAACUCUUACAACUAAUACAACAUAUAAAUCAUGUCAUGCCAUUUUAAGUCGAACCAAAAGAAUUAAUCCACACCUACGAGCAAGAAGAUUAACCAUCCCUUUAUGACUUAAAAUGCAAUUUGCUUAACUGGAUAUCAGAUAUAUCAUCAUCUGAUAAUUGACCAACACAUAAACAUGUGACUACAUGAAUCCAACUAGAGAUUAAACUGAAUAAAUGGAUUCAAUCAAUCAUACAUACCUUAUAGGUCAUCUGCAAAUGUAAGGCAUCAAUUACAUGAAACUCAAGCUCCCACUUAUUUGCAACAUCGUCACUUAAUUUGCAAAUCACUACUUAAAUCAUACUUUUGAAAUAUGCUUGUGGGAACACCCUUACUUAGUCAAUGAAUGCAUAUCACUACAAAAUUGUCUUUCUUUAACCUUUCCUUAACACCUUAAAUAGCAUAAUCUCGAUGAAAGGUAAAACUAAGACAUUCACCGCUGUUUGUACAAAACCAUGCAUUUCACAACCAUCUAUUUGCAUUAAUAAUUCCAUAUUUGCGCUAAGUCCCCACGAGCCUCAAAAUUCUUUCUAAAGAUUAACAAAUAAUCAAUCAAGGCAUCCAAAUGAUUUCAAGUAAAAAUAUACACAUACCCCAAGUACUCAUUCUGCAACUUAAACAUAUUAUUGUCAUUCGAGUCAUGGCAUAAUUCUAAUUUCAUCAACCAAAACACAUAUUCAUGGAAGAUAGAAUAACACUUUAUGCUAGUCCACUUAAUGCUCAAAACUCUAAACUUUUAGAGUUUAUACACUUAUUGCAAAUAAGUUAAUAAGUGUGAAGCCCAAUUUUCUUUCACUUAUUCUCCCACUUGGGCAAACACUCAUUCAUAUAUUCUUUCAAGGAUGUACCUAAACAAAUUUUCUUCAUAUUUUAGACAUAAUUAAAUAGACAUCACAACCAACAUAAAGUUAUCAAAAGAAUUUCAGCAAUGAGUUACACUUACUUUAGAAUUUAUCAUAAUUAAUUUACAAGCUUAAUUGCUACCAAAAUUUUACAGAUCAAAAUAGACAUACUAAUCUUCAUAAAAUAAAAAUAUAGGGCCAUUUUAAGUAAAACUAAUUGUCUAAAAUGACGUCUCAAAAAAAACAAAAAACAAUCUGCCAGAAAAACUGUCUGUACGGUAUGGGUUACUAGUAAAUUCACCAUAAUUAUACUACAUGGCAAAAAUUUACGAAAAUUUGCAGACACAUAAUAGACAUAUAUAUGUUGAACAUAUAAAAAAUUCAGGUCGUUUGGUGAUCAUUAGACGUAUCAUUCACUCAAUUUAAAUCAAGACAUGCAAUCUGCCAGAAACAAUCAUGUGCAUCUAUCAUGAAUUUAUACAUCCAUAACAAUUCAAUUUCAUAUCAUUUCAAUUUCGAUGUCCAAGGGAAACUCUAGUAGUCAAAUUUCAUCAUCUAAAACGACAUCAUAUUUCAAAUUGAAAAGAUUUACAAGCAUAAGACUUAAAUAAUGUGUACCUUAGCAAUCCUUGAUUAACCUUCAUGGGUCCAAUACUUUGCAUCAACAAGUCUCAUGAAUAGACACAAAAUAUGUUAUGAUGCAACCGAUUUCCAUGCCUUAAAACCACAACCUAUUAUGGGGCUCAUAGUGGGAUUUUGUAACUGAUGGCAUGGAACUUUAUCCCCAAUAAACUUCAUGAAACUAGAUUAAUUUACACCUACGGGCAAGCAAAUUAAUUAGUUUCUAGUACUGAAUUAUAUGUCACAAGAGUUACCUUCAUAAAAAACUUCAACACCUACGGGCAAGAUGAAGUUUUCACAAACUCCUGUGAAAUAAAACCCAUACUAUGCCAUCUUAAUUAAAACAAAGGAAACGAUCCACACCUACGGGCAAGAAGAUUAUCCCUUUUAUUCUAAUUAAGAUGCAACGCUGAUCAAAGUAACUUAAAACCAUAGUCCCAGCAUCAACUAAGCCGCUACGGCUUGCUUAGUUGACAAGACAUUGAUCAUCUCCAGCCUAAAACAAUACAAACGUCACAUGGAUUAAUUAGCUGUAAGUGAUAAAAUUAUGAUAACAUGAUUCAAGCUUCGAGUCUUGCCAACAAAUGGCCUUAAUUUAAUAAUUUCCUUCAUGACUCCCUUCGAUAUCCAAUUAAUCUCAAAAAAACCUGACAACAUACUUGAAAGGAGAUUAAUCACAUAUAGAUCAGUUGUAUAAGAGCUAUAAUAUCAAUCUCACAAGGAUAUCAACACGUAUGAGAAAACAUGAUGGAGCUAAUAGAUUCAAAAUGGAAACACUUUAAACAAUAUAGUCGCUUUUAAUUCAAAAGCCAAAUUGUGAUAUCACUUAAAUGCUCUCUUAAGUCAAACGAGUUCCUUUCCUUUUGUACCUUUAUUUCUGUAGUACAAGACUCCUAAAACAUUAGCUUCACAAUCGUGCAUUAGCCUUGUAAAUACCAAAUUAAGCAAAGGAACAACCAAAAAUUCUUUUCUUCCAAAAGAAAAAACCCCAAUACAUGCCAUACAUUAGCCUUGAAUAAUUUCUUUUCUUCUCCCCUUAUGGCACAUAAAAUUGACUCAUCAAAACAUUGUUUAAAUUCUUUAGGCAUAGGAAAAACUAACAAACCAUAUACAAGUUUGAAAACUUAUGCUUAUCAAUUUUAGUCAUAUGCUUUGAAUGAAAUACAUACCGCAUGCCUUCAUAUGUUCACCACUUCUUUAUAAACAUAUAUAUAAUCACAUGGCCAACCAUAAUUCUCAUAUAAAUAGAUAAAAUACAAAUGAGAAUUGUCACAUAAUUACUGCAUACCUCAUUCAUUUGUAUAAUGUUCUUGUUCUUGUUCUUGCCACUGGAUGCUUUAUGUCAUUCUCAGUCAAUCCACAAAUUAUGCAUCAAUUUCAUAGUUAACUAGUCAUGUACAAUUAAAUGACUAUACUGAGAUAAGAAAGCAAAAUUGUAGACAAAACUAAUUUUGGUUAGUCAUGCAGAUUCCUUAUGGAGUUAAUAUGACAUUAAACAUUACUUGAAUUAAUCCCCAGUCAUACCCAAGUACGAGUACAUAGUGUAUAUAUUCUGGACAUAACAAUAAUUUUACUGCAUUAUUAAUGCUAAUCUGCCAGAUUUAUCAUAUAUUUGUGUCUUUGCAUAGGAUCAUCUCAAGCAAUAUAGGACAAUCCAAUCCCCUUAAAAAGAAAUAUACCAUAUGUCAUUUUACUACAUGUUUGCAAAACUUAAAAUUUUAAUCCAUAUUGAUUAUUUCCAACAACAACCAAUGACAUGGCUAUUACAUUCGGUCUAUAUAUAUUUCCUACACAUUAUCAUGUAACACAACUGAAUGAAAAUAUUUCCAUGAAUUCAUAUUACCCAUAAAAAAUAGAGCAAUAGACUUACUCAUGUACUAGUGCCGAAACACCCAGACUAUUUUGACAUAAUAUAGUCUAAAAAACAAGUAAAAUAAUUUAUGCAUAUUUACAUAUGCUUCUCGGUAGGCUUUUCAUAUGCAAAUAAGAAUUUAUCAUGUUCAAAGCAUAUAUUUUCUCUUUGUUAUAAUUAUCAAGUUCAAAACUUAAUAAUCAAAACUAACCAUAUGUAUGAUCGACUGUUUCGUACUUGACAUAUAUAAUGAUCAACACCAUUCACUUUGAUAGAGGACUUUACCGAGCUUGCUGAGUUGAGACGCUUGGGAGGUGACGUCCAUGACUUGUCUUCCGUUGGACGACGUUGUCUUUAUGCCUCGGCACGGUUUGUUGGCUUUA
rnacentral:lncRNA from 1 species